rnacentral:rRNA from 1 species
UUCCGGUUGAUCCCGCCGGAGGCUACUGCUAUUGGAAUUCGACUAAGCCAUGCGAGUCAAGGUGUCUUCGGACGCCGGCAUACGGCUCAGUAACACGUAGGUAACCUACCCUCAGGACUGAGAUAACCCCGGGAAACUGGGGCUAAUAUUAGAUAGAUAAAAGAUACUGGAAUGUUCUUUUAUCCAAAGCUUUUGCGCCUGAGGAUGGGCCUGCGCCCGAUUAGGUUGUUGGUGGGGUAAUGGCCCACCAAGCCUACGAUCGGUACGGGCAGUGGGAGCUGAAGCCCGGAGUUGGGGACUGAGACAAGGCCCCAGGCCCUACGGGGCGCAGCAGGCGCGAAACCUCUGCAAUGCGGGAAACCGUGACAGGGGGAUUCCAAGUGCUCAUGCAUUGCAUGGGCUGUUCUUUGGUCUAAGUAACCAGAGGAGUAAGGGCUGGGCAAGACCGGUGCCAGCCGCCGCGGUAAUACCGGCAGCUCAAGUGGUAGCCGCGAUUAUUGGGCCUAAAACGUUCGUAGCCGGAUAAGUAAGUCUUUGGUUAAAUCCUGCGACUUAACCGUGGGAAAUCUAGAGAUACUGCUUGUCUUGAGACCGGGAGAGGUUGGAGGUACUCCCAGGGUAGGGGUGAAAUCCUGUAAUCCUGGGGGGACCACCUGUGGCGAAGGCGUCCAACU